UACGUAGGUGGCAAGCGUUGUCCGGAUUAUUGGUUGAAAGGGUGCGUAGGCGGUUCUAUAAGUCAGUGGUGAAAUCCGGCAGCUCAACUGUCGAUGUGCCAUGAUACUGCAGAACUUGAGUACAGACGAGGUAGGCGGAAUUGCGUGUAGCGUGAAAUGCUUAGAUAUCGUCAAGGACACGAUAGCGAAGCAGCUUACUAGACUGUAACUGACGCUGAUGCACGAAAGUGUGGGAUCAACAG
rnacentral:rRNA from 1 species